rnacentral:rRNA from 1 species
CCUACGGGUGGCAGCAGUGAGGAAUAUUGGUCAAUGGACGAGAGUCUGAACCAGCCAAGUAGCGUGAAGGCUGACUGCCCUAUGGGUUGUAAACUUCUUUUAUAUGGGAAUAAAAUGUUCCACGUGUGGGAUUUUGUAUGUACCAUAUGAAUAAGGAUCGGCUAACUCCGUGCCAGCAGCCGCGGUAAUACGGAGGAUCCGAGCGUUAUCCGGAUUUAUUGGGUUUAAAGGGAGCGUAGGUGGAUUGUUAAGUCAGUUGUGAAAGUUUGCGGCUCAACCGUAAAAUUGCAGUUGAAACUGGCAGUCUUGAGGACAGUAGAGGUGGGCGGAAUUCGUGGUGUAGCGGUGAAAUGCUUAGAUAUCACGAAGAACUCCGAUUGCGAAGGCAGUUCACUGGACUGCAACUGACACUGAGGCUCGAAAGUGUGGGUAUCAAACAGGAUUAGAUACCCCAGUAGUC